rnacentral:tRNA from 1 species
GGAGGAGUCGGAUAAUGGUAUUCCAAAAGAUUGCUAAUCUUUGCCUCUCACGAGGCCUGUGGGUUCGACCCCCACCUCCUCCGCCA